rnacentral:rRNA from 1 species
ACAGAGGUCUCAAGCGUUGUUCGGAUUCAUUGGGCGUAAAGGGUGCGUAGGUGGCAUGGUCAGUCGGAUGUGAAAUCCCGGGGCUCAACCCCGGAACUGCAUUCGAUACUGCCGCGCUAGAGUACUGGAGGGGAGACUGGAAUUCUCGGUGUAGCAGUGAAAUGCGUAGAUAUCGAGAGGAACACCAGUGGCGAAGGCGAGUCUCUGGACAAUUCCUGACACUGAUGCUCGAAAGCUAGGGGAGCAAACGGGA